rnacentral:rRNA from 1 species
UACGUAGGGUGCAAGCGUUGUCCGGAAUUAUUGGGCGUAAAGAGCUCGUAGGCGGUUUGUCGCGUCUGCUGUGAAAACGCGAGGCUCAACCUCGCGCCUGCAGUGGGUACGGGCAGACUAGAGUGCGGUAGGGGAGACUGGAAUUCCUGGUGUAGCGGUGAAAUGCGCAGAUAUCAGGAGGAACACCGGUGGCGAAGGCGGAUCUGC